UACGGAAGGGGCAAGCGUUGUUCGGAAUCAUUGGGCGUAAAGGGCGCGUAGGUGGUUCUGUAUGUCUACCGUGAAAGCGUACGGCUCAACCGUAUUUUGUCGGUGGAAACUGCAGGACUUGAGGCUGGGAGGGGCUGGUGGAAUUCCCUGUGUAGCGGUGAAAUGCGCAGAUAUCAGGAGGAACACCGGUGGCGAAGGCGGGUCUCUGGGCCGAUACUGACGCUGAGGAGCGAAAGCGUGGGGAGCGAACAGG
rnacentral:rRNA from 1 species